CGCGUAGGCGGUUUUUUAAGUCAGAUGUGAAAGCCCGGGGCUCAACCCUGGAAGUGCAUUUGAAACUGAAAGACUUGAGUAUGGGAGAGGGAAGUGGAAUUCCUGGUGUAGAGGUGAAAUUCGUAGAUAUCAGGAGGAACACCGGUGGCGAAGGCGACUUCCUGGACCAAUACUGACGCUGAGGCGCGAAGGCGUGGGUAGCAAACA
rnacentral:rRNA from 1 species